rnacentral:rRNA from 1 species
AACGAACGCUGGCGGCAUGCCUAACACAUGCAAGUCGAACGAAGCCUUCGGGCUUAGUGGCGCACGGGUGCGUAACGCGUGGGAAUCUGCCCUUGGGUUCGGAAUAACAGUUAGAAAUGACUGCUAAUACCGAAUGAUGUCUUCGGACCAAAGAUUUAUCGCCCAAGGAUGAGCCCGCGUCGGAUUAGCUAGUUGGUGAGGUAAAGGCUCACCAAGGCGACGAUCCGUAGCUGGUCUGAGAGGAUGAUCAGCCACACUGGGACUGAGACACGGCCCAGACUCCUACGGGAGGCAGCAGUGGGGAAUAUUGGACAAUGGGCGAAAGCCUGAUCCAGCAAUGCCGCGUGAGUGAUGAAGGCCUUAGGGUUGUAAAGCUCUUUUUACCCGGGAUGAUAAUGACAGUACCGGAGAAUAAGCCCCGGCUAACUCCGUGCCAGCAGCCGCGGUAAU